rnacentral:lncRNA from 1 species
AUUGAUACAUACAGCAAGGAUACAGUCAAGUAUUGCUGACCCAGAGGCCUUUCUGCCACUGUUACGGGAGAGAGCAUAUGUUCGUUAAGAACAUAGGUGCUGAAUUAAACACAGCUGCCUUGGCAGUGCCUCAUGUAAUUUUACCCUUGCUAAUUUAGUUAACCUCCCUAAGCUCAUUUUGCCUUCAGUAAAUUAAAAACAACUAAGGGUUGGGGUGUCUGAGUGGCUCAGUUAAGUGUCUGCCUUCAGCUCAGGUCAUGAUCCCAGGGUUUCGGGAUCGAGCCCCACAUCAGGCCUGACUCCCUGCUCAGUGGGGAGUCUGCUUCUGCCUCUGCCCCUCACCCCACUUGUGCUCCCUCUCUCAAAUAAAUAAAUAAAAUCUUUGAAAACAGAACAAAAAACUAAGGGUUGUGAUGAUUAACUGAGAGACAGUGUGUGAAAGUCCUUGGUGCUGGGCGUAGAAGAUCACUUGGUGAUUGGUAACUGCUGACUUUGUUAGUAUUUCAGGCGGCCUCUUUUCUCUCUCCUCUGAUCCAGUUUGUAUUGAUGUUCACGUUUAACUUUCAGAGGCUCAUCUUGUUUCUCUUAAUUCCAGAUUCCGGGAGGUUGCCCUGUGUGGUUCCAAGAGGCGAAACACAGGGUCCCCAGUGCAGCUGACUGCUCAUUAUCUCCUCUGACAUUGAGGCAGUCAUGUUACAAGGGCGCCCAGUGCUAGUUUCUGCUCCCAUCUGUGUGCGAUGCCCUUCACUCCGCUGCUUUGAACCAGGGUGAAAGUGGAGGCUUCCUCCAUGAAGGCACAGCUCUUUCUCUGGCUCCUUACAUGACUCCGUCUAUGCUCUGCCCCUUUCUGCUGCCCAGUUCACCCUCUGGUGCUUGGCAGGACACUCUGUCUGGAAUUGCUGAGUUAACAACUUCCUGUGCUAUGAUCAUGUAAUUCUAAUCUUACCCCUCGCGAGAGAACUUUUUGUGAAUUCUAAGCCCAUAUGCUGCAUAUCCGCAUUUUGCCUCUGAAGUGAGCUCCAGACACGUGACAAAUGUGGUCAAACUAUUUACAACAAAUGUCCACAGGAGCAUUCAUAUAGUGACUGGGAAACUGGGGUUGAUUCACAGAAAAGUUUCUGUUUGACUUGACUGUCAUAAACAAUGAGAUCACAAAAGUAAAUACUCCAC